rnacentral:rRNA from 1 species
UGCGUAGGCGGUUUAUCAAGUUGGUAGCGUAAUUCCGGGGCUCAACUUCGGAACUACUACCAAAACUGGUAGGCUUGAGUGCGGCAGGGGGUAUGUGGAAUUCCUAGUGUAGCGGUGGAAUGCGUAGAUAUUAGGAGGAACACGGGAGGCGAAAGCGACAUACUGGGCCGUAACUGACGCUGAGGCACGAAAGCGUGGGGAGCAAACA